GCAUUAGCCACAGACUCAAGUCAUCGAAUGCCUUCGAUAUCUUGCCAAAACAGGCACCAAACUUCUCAGUCAUUCUACCCUUUUCCGCCCUCCAUGCAUGCAUUAAUCUUUCUUGAACGACACCUCGCUUCAAAACGUGCUACCCAUUCAGCUUAAGCGGCCUUCUCCGCCUCAGGUUAGAAACCUUAGUGGAAUACGGUUCCAUCUCAGUGUUUUAAUCAACUUUAAGCUUUCUCAAGCUUACUCUUCAAC
rnacentral:lncRNA from 1 species